CCUACGGGAGGCAGCAGUAGGGAAUAUUGCUCAAUGGCCGAAACCCUGAAGCAGCAACGCCGCGUGGAGGAUGAAGGUUCUCGGAGUGUAAACCCUCUUUGUUAGAGAAGAUAACGACGGUACUUAACGAAUAAUCACCGUCCAACUCCGUGCCAGCAGCCGCGGGUAUACGGAGGGAGCAAGCGUUAUUCGGAAUCACCGGGCGUAAAGGGCGCGCAGGCGGGAUAGCAGGUCAGAUGUGAAAUCCUAUGGCUUAACCAUAGAACUGCAUUUGAAACUGUUAGUCUAGAGUAUGGGAGAGGUAGGUGGAAUUCUUGGUGUAGGGGUGAAAUCCGUAGAGAUCGAGAGGAAUACUCAUUGCGAAGGCGGCCUGCUGGAACGUAACUGACGCUGAGGCGCGAAAGCGUGGGGAGCAAACAGGAUUAGAUACCCGAGUAGUC
rnacentral:rRNA from 1 species